GAUCGGCUCAGGAUGAACGCUAGCUACAGGCUUAACACAUGCAAGUCGAGGGGCAGCAUGGUCUUAGCUUGCUAAGGCCGAUGGCGACCGGCGCACGGGUGAGUAACACGUAUCCAACCUGCCGUCUACUCUUGGACAGCCUUCUGAAAGGAAGAUUAAUACAAGAUGGCAUCAUGAGUUCACAUGUUCACAUGAUUAAAGGUAUUCCGGUAGACGAUGGGGAUGCG
rnacentral:rRNA from 1 species